rnacentral:rRNA from 1 species
AUUGAACGCUGGCGGCAUGCCUUACACAUGCAAGUCGAACGGCAGCACGGGAGCAAUCCUGGUGGCGAGUGGCGAACGGGUGAGUAAUAUAUCGGAACGUGCCCAGUCGUGGGGGAUAACGUAGCGAAAGCUACGCUAAUACCGCAUACGAUCUAUGGAUGAAAGCGGGGGAUCGCAAGACCUCGCGCGAUUGGAGCGGCCGAUAUCAGAUUAGGUAGUUGGUGUGGUAAAGGCUCACCAAGCCGACGAUCUGUAGCUGGUCUGAGAGGACGACCAGCCACACUGGGACUGAGACACGGCCCAGACUCCUACGGGAGGCAGCAGUGGGGAAUUUUGGACAAUGGGCGCAAGCCUGAUCCAGCAAUGCCGCGUGCAGGAUGAAGGCCUUCGGGUUGUAAACUGCUUUUGUACGGAACGAAACGGCGAGCUCUAAUACAGUUUGCUAAUGACGGUACCGUAAGAAUAAGCACCGGCUAACUACGUGCCAGCAGCCGCCGUAA